UAAUACAUGCAAGUCGAACGCGCAGCGAAAGGUGCUUGCACCUUUCAAGCGAGUGGCGAACGGGUGAGUAACACGUGGAUAACCUGCCUCAAGGCUGGGGAUAACAUUUGGAAACAGAUGCUAAUACCGAAUAAAACUUAGUAUCGCAUGAUACAAAGUUGAAAGGCGCUACGGCGUCACCUAGAGAUGGGUCCGCGGUGCAUUAGUUAGUUGGUGGGGUAAAGGCCUACCAAGACAAUGAUGCAUAGCCGAGUUGAGAGACUGAUCGGCCACAUUGGGACUGAGACACGGCCCAAACUCCUACGGGAGGCUGCAGUAGGGAAUCUUCCACAAUGGGCGAAAGCCUGAUGGAGCAACGCCGCGUGUGUGAUGAAGGCUUUAGGGUCGUAAAGCACUGUUGUAUGGGAAGAAAUGCUAGAAUAGGGAAUGAUUCUAGUUCGACGGUACCAUACCAGAAAGGGACGGCUAAAUACGUGCCAGCAGCCGCGGUAAUACGUAUGUCCCGAGCGUUAUCCGGAUUUAUUGGGCGUAAAGCGAGCGCAGACGGUUGAUUAAGUCUGAUGUGAAAGCCCGGAGCUCAACUCCGGAAUGGCAUUGGAAACUGGUUAACUUGAGUGUUGUAGAGGUAAGUGGAACUCCAUGUGUAGCGGUGGAAUGCGUAGAUAUAUGGAAGAACACCAGUGGCGAAGGCGGCUUACUGGACAACAACUGACGUUGAGGCUCGAAAGUGUGG
rnacentral:rRNA from 1 species